rnacentral:rRNA from 1 species
AUGGCCGGAGCGCCACCCCUCCCCGCGCGCCUGCUGUCGAUCGCCGUCUGCCUCCUCCUGCUCCCGCCCGCCGCCCACCCCGCGCGCCAGCUAGCUGACACCGACGCCGCCGCCGACGCGCUCCUCAAGCUGAAGGACGGCAUCAAGGACGACGCCGGCGUGCUGCGCAACUGGUCGCCGGGCACACGCCCCUGCGCCGGCGCCGGCUCCAGCUGGGCGGGCGUCAUAUGCCACAAGGGUGAAGUGACGGGCCUGCAGCUGGAGAACAUGGCUUUGUCCGGCACGAUCGACCUGCGCCCGCUCAAGGGCCUCCGCGGCCUCCGCUCGGUUAGUUUCAUGGACAAUCAGUUCACCGGCCCCAUGCCCGACGUGAACGAGCUCCCCGGGCUUCGCGCCAUCUUCCUCUCCGGGAACAAGUUCUCCGGCGAGAUCCCUGCCGACGCGUUCGACGGGAUGAGCUCGCUCAAGAAGGUGGCCCUGUCCAAGAACAAUUUCUCCGGCCCAAUCCCGGCCUCGCUCGCCGGCGUGCCCAAGCUCAUGGACCUGCUGCUCGAUGAUAACAAGUUCCAGGGCAAAAUCCCUGACCUCCCGCAGAAGGAAUUAAAGGUCGUCAAUGUCGCUAACAAUGAGCUGGAGGGGGAGAUUCCGGCGAGCCUCAAAUCCAUGGGCGCCGCCAUGUUUGCCGGCAAUAAGAAGCUCUGCGGUGGAUUACUUGACCAGAAAUGCGCGGCCCCGCCGACGUCACUGACUCCGGCACCCGCUAAAACGGAAACGCCUCCGUCGUCUCCGCCGCCAGCGCCUGCUAAAACGGAAACGCCUCCGUCGUCUGACAAAGGCGGAGCCCAGCCGUCGGCACCGGCAGUCCCGGCGGCAGAUAAAACGACGGGCCCGCCGGCAGACAAGGCCGCACAAGAUGCUGCUCCUAAGGAGCCCACCGAGGGCUCUAUGUCCUACGGCGUCCUGGUGGCAAUCCUCGGCGUGCUGGCUCUCAUGGGCUUCGCGCUCUUGGCGCUUCAGAGGCGGCGGCGAGAGUACGACACCGAGAACUUCGGCCCGUCGAUCUCGAAGAAGCCCUCGAUGAGGAAGAUCAACGCAGAGCCAACGAAGGGCGACUCGGGGCGCAUGGUCGCAACGGCAGGCGCCCCUACCGCCGCAACUGCUUCGGCAGCCGGAGGCGGCACGCGUAAGGCGGGGGAGCAGGGGCGGCUGACGUUCGUGCGCGAGGACCGGGGCAGGCUAUUCGAGCUGCAGGACCUGCUCAAGGCGACGGCGGAGGUGCUGGGCGGCAACGCCGGCUCCAACCUCGGCCUGUGCUACCGCGCGACCCUGACCGGCGGGCAGUCCAUCGUGGUGAAGCGGUUCAAGGAGAUGAACCGCGUGGGAAGGGAGGAGUUCGAGGAGCACAUGCGGCGGCUGGGGCGGCUCUCCCACCCCAACCUCCUCCCGCUCGUCGCCUACUACUACCGCAAGGAGGAGAAGCUCCUGAUGCACGACUACGUCCAGAACAAGAGCCUCGCCCACCUCCUCCACGGCGAGGGGCGCGGGGUGAAGAAGGCGGUGGUGCACUGGGCGGCGCGGCUCAAGAUCAUCAAGGGCGUGGCGAGCGCGCUGAGCUACAUGUACGACGAGCUGCCGAUGCUGACGGUGCCGCACGGCCACCUCAAGUCCUCCAACAUCCUGCUGGACGAGCGCUUCGAGCCGCUGAUGACCGACUACGCGCUGGUGCCGGUGAUGAACCAUUCCCACGCCGCGCAGCUCAUGGUGGCCUUCAAGUCGCCCGAGCGGAAGCAGUUCGGCAAGUCGUCCAAGAAGAGCGACGUCUGGUGCCUCGGGCUCCUCAUCCUCGAGAUCCUCACGGGGCGGCCGCCGUCAUACGACCUGAAGGCGUCGGCGGCGCCGGAGCAGGAGCAGCAGAACCCGAACGACCUCGCCGGCCUCGUGGCGUCGACGCCGGAGGAGAAGUGGCUGCGGACGGUGGUGGACCCGGACCUCAGGUUCGACGACGAGGCGGACAAGGAGGCGGCGGUGAAGCUGAUCAAGAUCGGCUUGGCGUGCUGCGACGGCAACGCGGAGAGCCGGUCGGAGCUCAAGGACGCGGUGAAGGGGAUCGAGGAGCUCAAGGCCAAAGGACGCGGCGACAGGGAGGACAACUCCUUCUACUCGUCGAUAAGCGACGGCACCGAGCGCGACGAGGACUUCACCAAUGUCGCCAUCCACUGA